rnacentral:rRNA from 1 species
CCUACGGGUGGCAGCAGUGGGGAAUAUUGCACAAUGGGGGAAACCCUGAUGCAGCGACGCCGCGUGAGUGAAGAAGCGUUUCGGCGCGUAAAGCUCUGUCAGCGGGGAAGAAACACGGUUCGCGAGAGCCGCGGACGGUACCCGACCAAGAAGCCCCGGCUAACUACGGGCCAGCAGCCGCGGUAAUACGGAGGGGGCAAGCGUUAUCCGGAUUCACUGGGUGUUAAGGGGGCGUAGACGGCGAGACAAGUCUGGAGUGAAAGGCCGGGGCCCAACCCCGGGACUGCUCUGGAAACUGCCUGGCUGGAGGACAGGAGAGGUAAGUGGAAUUCCUAGUGUAGCGGUGAAAUGCGUAGAUAUGAGGAGGAACACCAGUGGGGAAGGGGGCUUAGUGGACUGUAACUGGCGUUGAGGCUCGAAAGCGUGGGGAGCAAACAGGAUUAGGUACCCGGGUAGUC